rnacentral:rRNA from 1 species
GUGGGGAAUCUUGCGCAAUGGGCGAAAGCCUGACGCAGCCAUGCCGCGUGAAUGAUGAAGGUCUUAGGAUUGUAAAAUUCUUUCACCGGGGACGAUAAUGACGGUACCCGGAGAAGAAGCUCCGGCUAACUUCGUGCCAGCAGCCGCGGUAAUACGAAGGGGGCUAGCGUUGCUCGGAAUUACUGGGCGUAAAGGGCGCGUAGGCGGACAGCUUAGUCAGAGGUGAAAGCCCAGGGCUCAACCUUGGAAUUGCCUUUGAUACUGGCUGUCUUGAGUUUGGGAGAGGUGAGUGGAACUCCGAGUGUAGAGGUGAAAUUCGUAGAUAUUCGGAAGAACACCAGUGGCGAAGGCGACUCACUGGCCCAAUACUGACGCUGAGGCGCGAAAGCGUGGGGAGCAAACAGGAUUAGAUACCCUGGCAGUCC